CCAUGGCAGAGUCUGGCCUAAUGGUGGGUGGAGCUAGGUCCCAGGGUCUCUGGCUGGAGGAUGCUGGUGUUUAGGUCUAGUCCUGUGCACUAAUGUGUGUGACCAGGUUCUGGGCCCUCUGGUGAGCAAGGCCAUGUCCAGAAACAUCUAGGGAUUUGAGAAAUAUUAAGGCAGCCUGUCUGGUAGUGGUGAGGGGCCAUGGUGUUCCCAGUUAGUUGCUCAAGUGAAGUGUCCCAGCACUGGUACCUGCACAUCAUUUGGCCAUGGCAGUGCUGGGUUAAAUAGCUAGUAAGCUAGAGAGAGAAGUCCACAAUGGCAUUUGCUAGCAUAAGUGUCCAUGUGAUAGAAUUAUCUCCCCAAAAUGGCUGCCACCAGUGUCUAUGUCUUUGGGGUGAGCUAUAGUUCUUCGUGCCUCUUUGGUAGACUCUCCAAGAUCCCCAGGCAGUUCUGACCCUGGCUCUUAUCAAAUUACCUCUUCUGCCCUCAGUCCCAGAGUGUGUCACAUUUUUUGCUUGCCCUUUAAGAGUGAGUAUCUAUUUCCCCCAACUCUCUGUGAGUCCCAGAAGUAAAUCCCACUGGACUUCAAAGGCAAAUACUCUAUGAAUUCUUUCUGGUGCAGGACAUGUAUCUUAGGAAACCCAUCAUGGGACUCCAGCCUCUUGCUCCUUUGAAGAACCUCUGCAAUUAUAAUUAUUCUCCCAUUUGUGAGUUGCCCACCUGGGGUUAUGCUACUCUGCCCCUCCUACUCAUCAUGUUGUGGUUCCUUCAUUGUAUCUUUUGUUGUAGAAGUUUCCAGUAUUUGUCAUCAAUAGUUGUUCUGCAAACUAGUUGUGAUUUUGUUGUGCUUGUGAAAGGAAUCGAGCUCAGAGUCUUUCUACUCCACCCACUAGGGUGAUAUCCUUCAAAGGAUUGUCAUGUGGAUUCAAUGAGAAAAUCCAUGUAGGGCACUAAGAAAAAUGGUAGGUAAAUAGUAAGUGUUCAAUAAAUAGCCACUGUUAUUACUAUUACAAAAAACCUGGAUAAGUAGUAAAAGCUAAUUGAUAAACCCUAGGAACAAACAAAGCAUUAUUUGGAAUGUAAUUAUUUUAAGAAUUAUUGAAUAGGUAUUCUUCUUUUAAUUUAAGAAGUGUUGUCACACCUCACAAUGUGAGACUCUGGAUAUUAAAGUUACAGAAUAUUGUGAUUACAUACUAUUGAGCUAGUUCUACUAACCAUGCCAAAAUGUGCAUUAGAUAUGCCAAGAUGAAAGAAAGUAAAAGAUAUAAGGAUCUUCACUCAAAAAAAUGAAGGGACUGAGAGAUAGAUAAGAAACUGACAGGCUAUUUGGGUUAUUUGCAUUGCAUAGCAAACUUAUCAUUUUGAGUAGGUUCCUCCAUAACCAAACUUAGGUUACACAAACUUCUAAUUGCUACCAGGGGAAGGUUAAUUAGAAAGACACAGGUGAAGAUGACUAGCUGCAGUCCAUGGACAUUCAGCAGUAAAUCCACAGAGCAUGCUUCAAAGGCAGUGGUAGUGAUACUGGCGGACCAAGGCUCUGUGCCCCAUAAAAGUUUGCAAGAUAUAUCAACUCAAAGUGUCUGAUUGAGUGGUAUUAUAAAGACCAGUGUCACAGUAUCAGCAGCAUCUGGGAGAUACUUUGUUAUUUGGGGGGGCUAGUACUUCAGAAUUCCAAAUUUGAGGGCACUGUUUUGAAAAAUUCCUAUUGGAUAUAUUUUAUUAUUUUAAUGGAGACAUUUAUGUUGGUGGAGUACAUGGUAUAGCAUAAAAGGGGUUGGGUUUUCUGCAGCUUCAAGGCAGAACAACCAUCCAUCUAUGUUUUCUUUCCAAGGACAGUGCACUGGGAAAUGUUAAUAGAAUUGGCAGACUCUGAGAACUUAAGACAAUUCAGUUUAGGAAUAAAAUUGCCUACUUUACUCUAUACAAGCAGAGUCUCUGCGUGGAAAGAGAAUGUGUGUUGAUAGCUAGCUCAGGCAAACAUAUAGAAUGCAUGAACUCUUAAUGUUGUACAAAAAUCUAGGUAAUUCAGCUAACAGAGAAUCAAAGUUAUCUAUGCUAUAGACAUUGGUAUGAGUUGUGGCCUGUAUAGUAUAUUUCUUAAAAUUGUGUUUGUGGUUAUUUAGCAAAGAAUAAUAUAUACAUUCCCUUUUAUAUUAUUUAUAUAUAUGUGAAAGUAUAUAUUUUUAUAUAUGUAUGACUGAGUUAACAUGCAAUAAAGCAGGAAUUGGCACAACAUUGUAAACCAACUACACUUUAAUAAAAAAAUUAAAAUUAAAAAAUUAUUCCAAUUAGCCAAAAAAAAAGAAUUGGAGGAUAAAAAUGGUUAAACAGUUUUUUACAUUAAGAAUUCUUUGUAUAGUAUAUAUAUUGGUGUGUUUUUUUCUACCUUUAGAGAAACUGAAACAAAUGGAGUAUUAACAAAUUCAGAGUUAAGAGAUUAAUUUUGGCUCAAACUAUAUCAUGUAGCAAGGAUAAUAUGAUCAAUAUAACACAGCUAGUAAAAUUAUCUUUUAUUAUUUCCAUUCAUAUAAAUUGUAUUUAGUUCUCCCCUAUUUUUUGGUCUUUUUUAGAAUAAUGCUUAUGAGAGAUAUAACUUCCAACUACUUUUCUACUUCACUAGCAUAACUACUUCAGAGAGGAAGGGCCAGGGAGAAGCAAGGCUUUUUCUUAUAUAUAAGAUAUGAAGUGAGUUGAGGUUCUGAUGAUAUUUUGAGAUCCAAAUUAAUAAUUCAUUAUUUUGAACAAGUUGGAAAACCAAAAAUGUAUUCUGACAUCAGUCAAUUCCUGGUCUAUUGAGAUUACAUCAGUUGCAAGUCACACCCAUCCCGAGGAAGAUUGUCAUAUAUGGGAGAUUUUUUUUAUAACUUAAGGUCAGGAAUAGCUCCCAAAGUGUUGGCUCAGGCUUUUGACAUUAAAAAUAAAAGUGGCAAAAGUUAAAGAUAAAGAGAAGAUUCUAAAGGCAGCAAGAGAAAAAUAGAUAUAAUUAGAAGGGACCCCCCCAUAAAGCUAUCAGCUGAUUACAGAAACACUAUAUGCCAAAAGAGAGUGGCAAGAUAUAUACAAAUUUAUAAAAUGGAAAAUUUUGCAUCCUAGAAUACUCUACACAACAAGAUUAUCAUUUAAAAUGGAAGAAAAAAAUAAUUUCUCAAACAAAAACUGAAAGAAUACAGCAAUACUAAAGCCAUUCUAAAACAACUACUGAAAAGUCUCCUCUAGGUAUGAAAGAAAUAAAAAUAUAUAGGAUGGAAGAAAUCACAAUUGGAAGGUAAUCACUUAAAUGUCAGCAUACAAGUCUACAGGGAGGAUACUGCCCAUUGGUCAGUAGGGGCAGGGACCACAGGAAUGGUGCAGGUUCUAUAGUUACAGAGAGGGCCUUUUAGCAACAGGGAGCAGGCCCCAUCAUUGGAGAUAAAGAGAAUGCUCCCUAGAGCAGCCAAAAAAAUGGAAUGACUAUAGAAUGGCACCUGUCCCCACAGCUACAGAGAACUGUCAUGAGAGCUUUCCCAGCAAAGGGAGAGACUGCAGGAGCAGCUGCUAAUGUUCCAAUCUACAGGAAAUGGUCCUGAGAGCUACCCAAUAUCAGAAGGGGUUGCAUGAGCUGCCCCCCUGACAGAAUAGAAAUCCCAUGAACUGUGAACCAUUGCCACUUCUCUCACAGAACACAUUCCAAAGAUCCACCCAGCUCCAGGGGAGGAAGUGUGAUAUGGCUGCUCCAAACAUGUGCUCUGUGUAUGUUUGAGCAGCUACCACCCCUGAGAGCUCCAGGAAUGAACACCAGCUGUAGUAUCUAAAUACCUGCUAUCAAGAGGAUGAUAUACGUAGAAAGUCAGACAUUAUGAAAUGAAAAACAAAUAGCCUUCAUAAAAAGAAAUAAGACAAAAACACACACAAAUAACUAAAUGAAAAGGCAAGGAGAAAGGCAAUCUACCUGGAAAGAAUUUGGAGUGAUUAUAGUAAAGAUGAUCAAAAAAUGGAAGCACAGAGUUAUGUUUUUUAAUUUUUUAUUAUUUAUUUAUUUUCUUUUGAGGGCUGCGCAUGUGGCAUAUGGAGGUUCCCAGGCUAGGGGUCUAAUCAGAGCUAUAGUUGCUGGCCUACACCAGAGCCACAGCAAUGCCAGAUCCUUAACCCGCUGAGUGAGGCCAGGUAUUGAACCCACAACCUCAUGGUUCCUAGUCAGAUUCAUUUCUGCUGCACCACGAUGGGAACUGUUUAAAAAAAAAAGAGCUAAAAUACUUAAAGAUUAAGCAAACAAAGAUGAAUAGCACAAUAUCUGAAAGGAAAAAUACACUAGAAGGAAUGCAUAGCAAGAUAAUAGAGGCUGGAGAAUGAAUAAGUGAAGUGGAAGACAGAGUGGUGGAAAUCACUACCACAGAAAAGAAUAAAGCAUAAAAGAUGAAAAGAACUGAGGAGAGUCUAAGAGGUAUCUGGGACAGCAUUAAACAUACCAAUUAGAAUCAUAGGGAUUCCAGAAGGAAAAGAGAGAGAAAGAGCCAGAAAAAAAUAUUUGAAGAUAUUAUAGAUGAAAAUUUCCCUACUAUGGGAAAGUAAACACUUAAUCAAGCUGAAAAAGAACAGAGAAAUGCACACAGGAUAAAAGCAAGGAGAAACACAGUGAGACACACACAAAUCAAAUUGAAAAAAAAUUAAAUAGAAAGAAAAAAUAUUAAAAGCCACAGGGGAAAAGCAGCAAAUAACAUAACAUACAAGUGAACUCCAAUAAGGAUAACAGCUAAUUUUCAGCAGAAACUCUGCAUGAUAGAAGGCAGUGGCAAGAUAUAUUUAAGGUGAUGAAGGAGAGGAUUCUAGAACAAAGAAUACUUAGCAAUGCUCUCAUUUAGAUUCAAUGGGGAUAUCAAAAUCUUUUCACAUAAGCAAAAGCCAAGAGAAUUCAGUACUUCCAAACCAGAUCUACAGCAUCUACAAGAGGAAUUCUCUGGGCAGAAAAGAAAAAGGCACAAUUAGAAACCAGAACAUUGUAAAUGGGAAAACUCACUGGUAAAUAAAAAGUUAAUAUAAAGGUAGAAAAUCACCCAGUGACAAAUAUGAUAUCAAAGCUAGCAAGAAUGAGAAGUGGAGAGGACAAAUGCCAAAUAUUGAGAUGCAUUUGAAAAUAAGAGAACAGUAACCAAAAACAAUUCUGAACACAUAUAGAUGGUUAUAUCAAGAUGAACUGGGGACCACAAACCAAAAAUAUAAUGGACACAAACAUAAAA
rnacentral:lncRNA from 1 species